GACGAACGCUGGCGGCGUGCUUAACACAUGCAAGUCGAACGAUGAAGCAGAGACACGCGAACUUCGGUUCAAAUUUCACUUCGGCUUAGUGGCAGACGGGUGAGUAACGCGCAAGCAACCUACCUCUUACAAAGGGAUAGCCUCGGGAAACCGUGAUUACUACCAUAUGACACCUUCAUAAGGCAUCUUAAGAAUGUUAAAGCUACGGCGGUAAGAGAUGGGCUCGCGUCCCAUUAGCUAGUUGGUGAGGUAACGGCCCACCAAGGCGACGAUGGGUAACCGGGCAGAGAGGGUGAACGGUAACAUUGGAACUGAGACACGGUCCAAACUCCUACGGGAGGCAGCAGUGGGGAAUAUUGCACAAUGGAGGGAACUCUAAUGCAGCGACGCCGCGUGAGCGAUGAAGGAAUUCGUUUCGUAAAGCUCGGUUCUAUGGGAAGAAAAGGACUGUACCAUAGGAGAAAGCCCCGGCUAAAUACGUG
rnacentral:rRNA from 1 species